AGAGUUUGAUCCUGGCUCAGGACGAACGCUGGCGGCGUGCUUAACACAUGCAAGUCGAACGAAAAGAGGGAAAGAGCUUGCUCUUUCCGGAAUUGAGUGGCAAACGGGUGAGUAACACGUAAACAACCUGCCUUCAGGAUGGGGACAACAGACGGAAACGACUGCUAAUACCGAAUAAGUUCCAAGAGCCGCAUGGCCCAUGGAAGAAAAGGUGGCCUCUACCUGUAAGCUAUCGCCUGAAGAGGGGUUUGCGUCUGAUUAGCUGGUUGGAGGGGUAACGGCCCACCAAGGCGAUGAUCAGUAGCCGGUCUGAGAGGAUGAACGGCCACACUGGAACUGAGACACGGUCCAGACUCCUACGGGAGGCAGCAGUGGGGAAUCUUCCGCAAUGGGCGAAAGCCUGACGGAGCAACGCCGCGUGAGUGAUGACGGCCUUCGGGUUGUAAAACUCUGUGAUCCGGGACGAAAAGGCAGAGUGCGAAGAACAAACUGCAUUGACGGUACCGGAAAAGCAAGCCACGGCUAACUACGUGCCAGCAGCCGCGGUAAUACGUAGGUGGCAAGCGUUGUCCGGAAUUAUUGGGCGUAAAGCGCGCGCAGGCGGCUUCCCAAGUCCCUCUUAAAAGUGCGGGGCUUAACCCCGUGAUGGGAAGGAAACUGGGAAGCUGGAGUAUCGGAGAGGAAAGUGGAAUUCCUAGUGUAGCGGUGAAAUGCGUAGAGAUUAGGAAGAACACCGGUGGCGAAGGCGACUUUCUGGACGAAAACUGACGCUGAGGCGCGAAAGCGUGGGGAGCAAACAGGAUUAGAUACCCUGGUAGUCCACGCCGUAAACG
rnacentral:rRNA from 1 species